AUACGGAGGGUCCGGGCGUUAUCCGGAUUUAUUGGGUUUAAAGGGAGCGCAGGCGGAGAUGCAAGCGUGACGUCAAAUUUCGGGGCUCAACCCCGUCUCGCGUCGCGAACUGCGUCCCUUGGUUGCGGGAAGGGGAGGCGGAACUCGUGGUGUAGCGGUGAAAUGCAUAGAUAUCACGAAGAACUCCGAUCGCGAAGGCAGCCUUCCGGCCCGUCAACGACGCUCAUGCUCGAAGGUGCGGGUAUCAAACAGGAUUAGAUACCCUGGUAGUCCGCACAGUAAACGAUGGACACCCGCGGUUUGGCCUGUAUGGCUGAGCCGCCAAGCGAAAGCGUUAAGUGUCCCACCUGGGGAGUACGCCGGCAACGGUGAAACUCAAAUGAAUUGACGGGG
rnacentral:rRNA from 1 species